CUGAAUAUCACUAAAUAGCACUGCCCAGCCCCACUACAUCUCCUUACUCAGCACCUAUCACUGAUACAUUAUAUAUCUCUUUGUGUCUCAUCCCAGUAGAAUGCAAGAUCCAUGAUACAGCUUUUGUUUUCUUCACUGCUCUAUCCCUAGAGCCAACAUUUCCUACUCAAAUGAAAUGAAAUUACUUGGGAGAAAGAACAGACAAAAAGGCAAAGAAGGACUUAGACAAAAGGACUUCUCACUUUGCUCCCGGCUCUGAGAUUCCUUACUCCUUUUCUCAAGAGAGUGAAGAGACUCAAAAGCACAUUACAAUUUUUUAUAGGCAGAGGUAAAGAAUUUAUAUUUCCUAAGAAGAGAAUAAAGAAUAAAAUGCUGGAACAAAGUAAAAAGGAUAAUAUGCGCCAACUGCGGAAUACAUGCUAGUGGCAACAGAGGUGUGGUUAUUUUUUGUGUAUUGGGGGAAAAUGUGUAUUUUGAUGUGUAUUGGGGAAAAAUGACUAGCAUACUAAGCUCAUGAUUUAAUGAUAAUUACAUAGUACAAAAUUAUACUUUUAAAAAAUAUAAAAACAUGAAAUAAAUACUACUACAGGCAGUAUUCAUAUGGAGGAAAAAACUCAUAUUGGUGUAUAAAUUAAGUGAAGUUUUAAGCAACACUGCUCCAGAAAAACAGCUCUUAAUUUGAGGCCCAUGGCGUCUGACUUUGAGCAUCUGAACUCCAGUGUAUCAUAUGCAAAAUGUAUGUGAAUGAGCACAUGGGCAUUGUUCUGGGAAAAACAAAAAUCAAUCCAGAGUUUUCACCAGAUUCUCAAAAAGGGUUAAAAACUAUUGCUCCAAAACUUUACAAUCUAAUAUGUCAUCAAAUAUCACUAUGAAUAAAAAAGUACUUAUUUGAAAA